rnacentral:rRNA from 1 species
UAUGUGAUCGUCUCUCGCAUAUCAAUAAGCGGAGGAAAAGAAACUAACAAGGAUUCCCCUAGUAACGGCGAGUGAAGCGGGAAGAGCUCAAAUUUGAAAUCUUAAAGGGUUUCCCUUUACGAAUUGUAGUUUAAAGAAGUGUUUUCUGUUGAGGUUUUGGUAAAAGUUCUUUGGAAUAUGACAUCAUAGAGGGUGAGAAUCCCGUAUUUGACCUUUACUUUCAACUUUGUGAUACACUUUCAAAGAGUCGGAUUGUUUGGGAAUGCAGUCCAAAAUGGGUGGUAAAUUUCAUCUAAAGCUAAAUAUUGGCGAGAGACCGAUAGCGAACAAGUACCGUGAGGGAAAGAUGAAAAGAACUUUGAAAAGAGAGUUAAACAGUACGUGAAAUUGUCAAAAGGGAAGCGUUUGACACCAGUGUUGUUUUUCUGAAAAUCAAUUAAAGAACUGUUUAUGCUAAGCUGUUUAGACUUUAUCAGCUAACUGUUUAGCUUUUGAGCUUUUCUUUAAUGCACUUUUCAGUUAACAAGUCAACAUCAAUUUCUUUUGCUGUAAAAAAGCUUGAGGAAGGUGGCUUGAGAUUCGUCUUAAGUGUUUAUAGCCUCUUGCCUAUGCAGUCGGAGAGAUUGAGGUCUGCAGCGUAGAUCCUUCGGGGCUAAAUGCAUUUGUGCUAAGUUAUAGCAUUUUAUAGACAACUUGUUGACUAUGAUUUGUCUUGUAGCUUACUCGCUUAUAUUAUUUUACCUACGCUUAGGAUGUUGAACGCGCACAGAGUCUC